CCUACGGGUGACUGCAGUGAGGAAUAUUGGUCAAUGGGCGCGAGCCUGAACCAGCCAAGUAGCGUGAAGGAUGACUGCCCUACGGGUUGUAAACUUCUUUUAUAAAGGAAUAAAGUGAGGCACGUGUGCCUUCUUGUACGUACUUUAUGAAUAAGGAUCGGCUAACUCCGUGCCAGCAGCCGCGGUAAUACGGAGGAUCCGAGCGUUAUCCGGAUUUAUUGGGUUUAAAGGGAGCGUAGAUGGGUUGUUAAGUCAGUUGUGAAAGUUUGCGGCUCAACCGUAAAAUUGCAAUUGAUACUGGCAGUCUUGAGUGCAGUUGAGGUAGGCGGAAUUCGUGGUGUAGCGGUGAAAUGCUUAGAUAUCACGAAGAACUCCGAUUGCGAAGGCAGCUUACUAGACUGCCACUGACAUUGAUGCUCGAAAGUGUGGGGAGCAAACAGGAUUAGAUACCCUAGUAGUC
rnacentral:rRNA from 1 species